rnacentral:rRNA from 1 species
GAAGAAAGAGGGGGGCGUGCUUAACACAUGCAAGUCGAACGGAAAGGCCCUGCUUUUGUGGGGUGCUCGAGUGGCGAACGGGUGAGUAACACGUGAGUAACCUGCCCUUGACUUUGGGAUAACUUCAGGAAACUGGGGCUAAUACCGGAUAGGAGCUCCUGCUGCAUGGUGGGGGUUGGAAAGUUUCGGCGGUUGGGGAUGGACUCGCGGCUUAUCAGCUUGUUGGUGGGGUAGUGGCUUACCAAGGCUUUGACGGGUAGCCGGCCUGAGAGGGUGACCGGCCACAUUGGGACUGAGAUACGGCCCAGACUCCUACGGGAGGCAGCAGUGGGGAAUAUUGCACAAUGGGCGGAAGCCUGAUGCAGCAACGCCGCGUGCGGGAUGACGGCCUUCGGGUUGUAAACCGCUUUCGCCUGUGACGAAGCGUGAGUGACGGUAAUGGGUAAAGAAGCACCGGCUAACUACGUG